AAACCAUGAUGAGGGCAUGAUCUAAGCAUAUUUUUAAAUCUAUCCCAUGUUUCAUAGAGAGAUUUAGUGUCAGACUGUCUAAAGCUUGCAAUUAAAUUCCUCAUAU